rnacentral:rRNA from 1 species
CGGAACGGGUGAGUAAUGCGUGACCAACCUGCCCCAUGCUCCAGAAUAGCUCUUGGAAACGGGUGGUAAUGCUGGAUGCUCCAACUUGACGCAUGUCUUGUUGGGAAAGUGUUUAGUGGCAUGGGAUGGGGUCGCGUCCUAUCAGCUUGUAGGCGGGGUAAUGGCCCACCUAGGCUUCGACGGGUAGCCGGCCUGAGAGGGCGGACGGCCACAUUGGGACUGAGAUACGGCCCAGACUCCUACGGAGGCAGCAGGAC